GAUCCUGGCUCAGGAUGAACGCUGGCGGCGUGCCUAACACAUGCAAGUCGAACGGAGUUAUGAUGUGAGCGGGAAGUGCUUGCACAGCCCAAUCUUUUCAUAACUUAGUGGCGGACGGGUGAGUAACGCGUGGGUAACCUGCCCUGUACUGGGGGACAACAGUUGGAAACGACUGCUAAUACCGCAUAAGCGCACGGGAUCGCAUGAUCCAGUGUGAAAAACUCCGGUGGUACGGGAUGGACCCG
rnacentral:rRNA from 1 species